rnacentral:rRNA from 1 species
AUCGAUGAAGAACGCAGCGAAAUGCGAUAAGUAAUGUGAAUUGCAGAAUUCAGUGAAUCAUCGAAUCUUUGAACGCACAUUGCGCCCAUUAGUAUUCUAGUGGGCAUGCCUGUUCGAGCGUCAUUUCAACCCUUAAGCCUAGCUUAGUGUUGGGAGCCUACUUUCGAGUAGCUCCCUAAAUACAACGGCGGAUCUGUGGUAUCCUCUGAGCGUAGUAAUUUUUAUCUCGCUUUUGUUAGGUGCUGCAGCUCCCAGCCGCUAAACCCCCCAAUUUUUAAUGGUUGACCUCGGAUCAGGUAGGAAUACCCGCUGAACUUAAGCAUAUCAAUAAGCGGAGGAAAAGAAACCAACAGGGAUUGCCCUAGUAACGGCGAGUGAAGCGGCAACAGCUCAAAUUUGAAAUCUGGCCCUUGGGUCCGAAUUGUAAUUUGUAGAGGAUGUUUUUGGUGCGGUAUCUUCCGAGUUCCUUGGAACAGGACGCCUUAGAGGGUGAGAGCCCCGUACGGUUGAAUGCCUAGCCUUUGUAAAACUCCUUCGACGAGUCGAGUAGUUUGGGAAUGCUGCUCUAAAUGGGAGGUAAAUUUCUUCUAAAGCUAAAUACUGGCCAGAGACCGAUAGCGCACAAGUAGAGUGAUCGAAAGAUGAAAAGCACUUUGAAAAGAGGGUUAAAUAGCACGUGAAAUUGUUGAAAGGGAAGGAUUUAUGACCAGACUUUUUCUAGGCGAAUCAUCCGGUGUUCUCACCGGUGCACUUCGUUUAGUUUAGGCCAGCAUCGAUUUUCGGAGAGGGAUAAAAGCUUUAGGAAUGUGGCUCCUUCGGGAGUGUUAUAGCCUAUUGUAUAAUACCUUUCUGGGGAUCGAGGUACGCGCUUCUGCAAGGAUGCUGGCGUAAUGGUUAUCAAUCACCCGUCUUGAAACACGG